rnacentral:rRNA from 1 species
CACGUAGGGGGGCGAGCGUUGUCCGGAUUCAUUGGGCGUAAAGCGCGCGCAGGCGGCUCGGAAAGUCGGGUGUGAAAACUCGGGGCUCAACCCCGGGCGUGCAUCCGAUACUGCCGGGCUUGAGGCAGGUAGGGGAGAUCGGAAUUCCUGGUGUAGCGGUGAAAUGCGCAGAUAUCAGGAAGAACACCAAUGGCGAAAGCAGCUCUCUGGGACGGUACUGACGCUGAGACGCGAAAGCGUGGGGAGCGAACAGG